UCCUCGUUGGCUCAGUUGGUAGAGCGCCUCACUAGUAUGUCCCACCCUAGCAUCCAGGCUGCUUAUGAGGAGGUCAGUCGUUCAAAUCGGCUACGAGGAA